rnacentral:rRNA from 1 species
ACGGAGGGUGCAAGCGUUAAUCGGAAUUACUGGGCGUAAAGCGCGCGUAGGCGGCUCUUUAAGUCGGAUGUGAAAGCCCCGGGCUCAACCUGGGAACUGCAUCCGAUACUGGGGAGCUAGAGUGUAGGAGAGGGAGGUAGAAUUCCAUGUGUAGCAGUGAAAUGCGUAGAUAUAUGGAGGAAUACCAGUGGCGAAGGCGGCCUCCUGGCUUAACACUGACGCUGAGGUGCGAAAGCGUGGGGAGCAAACGGG